rnacentral:rRNA from 1 species
AGAGUUUGAUCCUGGCUCAGAAUGAACGUUGGCGGCGUGGAUUAGGCAUGCAAGUCGAACGGACCUGGUUUUCGGAUCAGGUCAGUGGCGUAAGGGUGAGUAAGGCGACGGCAACCAACCCCAUGGUUGGGCAUAACCGCGGGAAGCUGCGGAUAAUACCCAGCGAUGUUCGUGUCGGGCAUCCGAUGUGAACCAAAGUUUCGACGCCGUGGGACGGGCCGUCGUGGUAUUAGGUUGUUGGCGGGGUAAUGGCCCACCAAGCCUUUGAUGCCUACCGGGCGUGCGAGCGUGGCCCGGCACACUGGGACUGAGACACUGCCCAGACUCCUACGGGAGGCUGCAGUCGAGGAUCUUCGGCAAUGGGCGCAAGCCUGACCGAGCGACGCCGCGUGGAGGAUGAAGGCCUUCGGGUUGUAAACUCCUGUCGAGGGGGAGGAAGGCGCAAGCUUGACCUAUCCCUGGAGGAAGCACGGGCUAAGUUCGUGCCAGCAGCCGCGGUAAGACGAACCGUGCGAACGUUAUUCGGAAUCACUGGGCUUAAAGCGCGUGUAGGCGGAUGGGGACGUCGGUUGUUGAAAGCCCCCGGCUUAACCGGGGAACUGGCGCCGAAACGCCCUGUCUUGAGGAGCGUAGGGGGACCUGGAACUUCCGGUGGAGCGGUGAAAUGCGUUGAGAUCGGAAGGAACGCCCGUGGCGAAAGCGAGGUCCUGGACGUUAUCUGACGCUGAGACGCGAAAGCUAGGGGAGCGAACGGGAUUAGAUACCCCGGUAGUCC